rnacentral:rRNA from 1 species
UACGGAGGGUGCAAGCGUUAUCCGGAUUUACUGGGUUUAAAGGGUGCGUAGGUGGGUAGGUAAGUCAGUGGUGAAAUCUUCGAGCUUAACUCGGAAACUGCCAUUGAUACUAUUUAUCUUGAAUACUUUGGAGGUAAGCGGAAUAUGUCAUGUAGCGGUGAAAUGCUUAGAUAUGACAUAGAACACCAAUUGCGAAGGCAGCUUACUACACAGUAAUUGACACUGAGGCACGAAAGCGUGGGGAUCAAACAGG